rnacentral:sRNA from 1 species
ACAAAACAAAACAACAACAACAAAGUAAUCCUCCUGCCUCAGCCUCCCAAGUGGUGAUGAUGUCAUCUCAAGAUGGCAGGGGUGAACAGCAAACCUGACUUUUGCAUGGUCUCCUUCACUCCCUCUAUUCAUCCCCCUUUUCUCCCUCUCUUUCUUUUUUCCUUUCUUACACAGGGUCUCAUUACUUAACCCCGACUGGCUCAAAACUCACUUUGUAGCCUAGGUAUUUCUCAAACUCGCCAUCCUCCUGCCUCACACCACCAAGCCCUGAGACUGCAAGGACCAUGCCUCGCCAAUACUCAUUCCCCCCCCCCAUGUUUGUUAAAAGAGGUUAUUUUCAACCAGCUGGAAAAGCUCUUUGGGGUGCUGAAGAUGUCAAGUGUGCACCCCCUCAAUACACAACGUUAUGGGGUGGUGAGAUAGGCUAAAUUUUCCGCAAGGUCAACGUAGGGCAGACUUCGGACCCGUUUUUAAUGGCAAAGGAUAUCAAAAGACAAAAUGUAGAGGUUUAAGUUGUUAACCUAGAACUCUUUCAACUAAACUCAGGGUAGGAUGAGUUCGGUGCCCUCCCAAAGCCGGGAGCAGAUGGGGUGACUGCUGCUGCUCGCAUCUGAAGCUGGGGAGUUGGGGGAGCGGUUCUCGGGCCCAGGGGACUCCCCAUUUCCGGGAUCAGGAAUGAUUCUGAAUAUAUCCAGAUGUGCAGCCCCGCCCUAGAUGUGCUGACGCUGCGCGGGGCCACGUGGCGGGACACUGGCUCACUUGAGGGGAGCCCCGGAGUAUGGGGUUACUCAUCCCUGCCCGCCGCUCUCCAUACCCGGAGACGCCUCCUGGGAAGAGCGCUCUGGGGAGGCAGCAAGGCUGCGCCCAGCUCAGCGCGACGCUGGCGCCGAGAAAAACAAAACGGCUUCCAGCAAGUUCUCUCUCUGCCCUCGCUCCCUGAGCCCCUCCCUGCAGCAGGUGGGGGCGUUUUCCUGGCGCGACUCCUCUCUGCAGUGGGGUGUGCGCGCCAGCGAUCCCCGACGCCUGGCGGCCUGUGCUCGGGAGCCUGGGACGAGAGUGGAGAAAAGGAGUCCCCGGCAUCCCUCUGUCCAAGUAAUAAUCUCGCUCACGCCCUGGAUGAAAGAGGUUUGGACCUUUCUCUCUCAAACCCCCAGCUUCUGCAGAGAGUGUCCCAGAGGCCAGGAGGAUUGAAGAGCUGAGCUAUGACUCCCUGAGGAUGUACAAUCACCAUCGAGAGCGAUGUCGCAAUGAGAGUGCGGAGAUGCACUGGGUUUGAGGCUGCGCUGGACGCCCCAUGUCUGGGACGAGUCCCAAAAGUGAAGGAAGGGGAAGGGUCUUUGUUCCCCCUCAGACCAUGACUACCAGACCCUGAGCACCCUCUGUGUCCCCAUUCCCAUGGUCCAUCCACUGGAGCCUCACAUAUGGCCACUGCGGGUUGGGAACCCCGUUACCCACUCAGCGCGGUCCACCAUUGCCCUGGGACUGUGGAACCCCCGUCGCCCUCCCGAGGAUCAGGGCCAGGGCGUGGUUUCCGUGGAACUCUCUUAGGAAGACUCCUGGUCAGGGCGACGGCAAGAUUCGAACCCAAGACUACAGCGGAUGUCUCUAAUUUUGGCAUCUGCUCUGCCUGCACUCCUUGGCACCAUCAUGAGCUUUACAGAGGUGCUAAAGAGUCGCUAAAAGCUGUGGUUCCGUGAUGCUCCAGGCCAGCAUACCCUUGAGACCAUAAUGUAAUUGUCACCUCCUAAGCCCCACGUGUGAAAUGGGACCACCACAGAGGCAACUCUGAUGCCUUUUCCAGUUGAGGAAUCCCUGUGCUAGAGAACAUUUCACCUACUUCAAGAACCCGCACUGGUCCUCAAGUCCUUGACCAGAUGUGACCUUAUAAGGCAUGAGUGUUUCCCCGGGGUCUCUAUCCCCUUGCAGUCAGGGGGUUAAGUAGGGGAGAGGCACCCCAGCACAAGAUGGCCCUCGGACCCCAAGCAAUCCUCUUGAUUAAACCAGCUUACUUUUCGUUUCUUAAAAAA